GGAGGGGUGGCCGAGUCGGCUUAAGGCACAGGUUUGCUAAACCUGCGUAGGGGCAACCCUACCGGAGGUUCGAAUCCUCUCCCCUCCG
rfam:Haloalkaliphilic bacterium ACht6-1 contig00003, whole genome shotgun sequence.